GACGAACGCUGGCGGCGUGCUUAACACAUGCCAGUCGAACGGAAAGGCCCUGCUUUUGUGGGGUGCUCGAGUGGCGAACGGGUGAGUAACACGUGAGUAACCUGCCCUUGACUUUGGGAUAACUUCAGGAAACUGGGGCUAAUACCGGAUAGGAGCUCCUGCUGCAUGGUGGGGGUUGGAAAGAUUCGGCGGUUGGGGAUGGACUCGCGGCUUAUCAGCUUGUUGGUGGGGUAGUGGCUUACCAAGGCUUUGACGGGUAGCCGGCCUGAGAGGGUGACCGGCCACAUUGGGACUGAGAUACGGCCCAGACUCCUACGGGAGGCAGCAGUGGGGAAUAUUGCACAAUGGGCGGAAGCCUGAUGCAGCAACGCCGCGUGCGGGAUGACGGCCUUCGGGUUGUAAACCGCUUUCGCCUGUGACGAAGCGUGAGUGACGGUAAUGGGUAAAGAAGCACCGGCUAACUACGUG
rnacentral:rRNA from 1 species